rnacentral:rRNA from 1 species
CAUAACACUGAGAAAUUGGUACUAAUUCCCCAUAACACUCAUUAAGGCAUCUUUUUGAGUUGAAAGUUCCGGCGGUUUGAGAUGGACAUGCGUUGUAUUAGCUAGAUGGUGAGGUAACGGCUCACCAUGGCGACGAUACAUAGGGGGACUGAGAGGUUAACCCCCCACACUGGUACUGAGACACGGACCAGACUCCUACGGGAGGCAGCAGUGAGGAAUAUUGGUCAAUGGACGCAAGUCUGAACCAGCCAUGCCGCGUGCAGGAAGACGGCUCUAUGAGUUGUAAACUGCUUUUGUACAAGGGUAAACCUCGGUACGUGUACCGAGCUGAAAGUACUGUACGAAUAAGGAUCGGCUAACUCCGUG